UGGAAGGAUGGGGACACCUCUGGGGUUAUAACUCGCGGACCGAAUUGAGAAGGAUGUUAUUGGAACGUGAAGACAAAGGCUUCCCACCCCUUACUUGUGCACAGACCUCUACGGAACUUCAGAAAAUCAGUAGAGAAGAAUUAAAGAAAAGGGAAGCUCGUGGUCAAGAGACCCCACGCUCCACGCUUAUUAUCUGCAAAUAUGACUCUGAUGGCAGUCCUAAAAUGGUGAAGUUAAUAAUAGAUAAAGGGGAUGUAACCGUUGGAGUCACCCCUGAAAAAUGGGCUAUUGGGGGCAAAGCAACAGAACAAACUUGUGCCAAGAUUUACAAAUAUUUGGCAGAUAAUUUGAAAGAUGACGAGGAUGAAAAAAACUCCUUUAGGGAGGGUUGCCCAUAUUGUUAACAUUUGUACCAAAAUGGCCUCAACAUAUUCAGAGAUUAAAAAAAAGCCAGAGGAUAAUAAUAGCAUUGGAGGACUAUCAACUGUGUAUGUAGUUCAAGAAGAGGAGGAAGAGCCAAUUGGGGAUCUUCAAAGCCGCCAUUUAGCUGAGGAGAGAUUCCAAAAUCUAGGUCCUCUUAAAAUGACGAAGUAUAACUUUGGUGAGAUAGCCCAGUCUAGACAAAUAUUCGUAAAGCAAUGAUGCUAGUGAAACUGCGACGCUUGCAAUUGAUUCUUCAUCGACUUCAAGUUAAGGAGGGUUCUAUGCUUAGUCUGUUACUUAUCUAAGAAGGUGCUUGUUAGAAUUUAGAAGACUGUUAUUGCUUUAAUUAUUAGCCUUAUACUUCUUGCGGAUAAUCUAUAUCUUUUUAGGUUGCAUUGAAAUGUUUGGAAAUUAGUUUCUAGAAACAUGAUGGGUAUUGUUAAUGUGAACAUGCACUGAGGCACCUUUAAAUCAAUUGGGGUUUGUAUGACAAUAUCCUUUUCUUUCUUAUUUCCGUCAGUUGAUACUGCCAGUUGUUGCGUUAGCACUUUAGUUCUCUGGUUUCAGGUUUGUAUUAGUGAUGCUAUUA